rnacentral:tRNA from 1 species
AGCUCAACUGGCAGAGCAGGGGACUCUUAAUCCCAAGGUCGAAGGUUCGAAUCCUUCACGGCCCA